GGGUGAGAGCCCCGUCGUGCCC
rnacentral:siRNA from 1 species